AGGGACUUCGGUCCUGAGUAAAGUGGCGCACGGGUGAGUAACGCGUGGGUAAUCUGCCCCUCAGUUGGGAAUAACCCAUCGAAAGGUGGGCUAAUACCGAAUAAUGCUGUAUCGCCUCGGUGAUCCAGCCAAAGACGGCCUCUGCUUGCAAGCUGUCGCUGAGAGAUGAGCCCGCGUACCAUUAGCUUGUUGGUGGGGUAAUGGCCUACCAAGGCGACGAUGGUUAGCUGAUCUGAGAGGAUGAUCAGCCACACUGGAACUGAGACACGGUCCAGACUCCUACGGGAGGCAGCAGUGAGGAAUCUUGCGCAAUGGGGGAAACCCUGACGCAGCAACGCCGCGUGAGUGAGGAAGGCCUUCGGGUCGUAAAGCUCUGUCGGGUGGAAAGAAACGCAUGGGUGCUAAUACCAUCUAUGCUUGACGGUACCGCCAAAGGAAGCACCGGCUAACUCCGUGCCAGCAGCCGCGGUAAUACGUAGGGUGCAAGCGUUAAUCGGAAUUACUGGGCGUAAAGCGUGCGCAGGCGGUUGUGUAAGACAGGCGUGAAAUCCCCGGGCUCAACCUGGGAAUGGCGCUUGUGACUGCACAGCUCGAGUGCGGCAGAGGGAUGGAAUUCCGCGUGUAGCAGUGAAAUGCGUAGAUAUGCGGAGGAACACCAAUGGCGAAGGCAAUCCCCUGGGCCUGCUCUGACGCUCAUGCACGAAAGCGUGGG
rnacentral:rRNA from 1 species